GACGGCUCAGUGGUUUAUACGUUAGGCUUGAAACCAAGAGGUCCUAGGUUCAAAUCCUGGCUGGGGCC